rnacentral:rRNA from 1 species
UGCAGUCGAGCGGAUUUAUCCUUCGGGAUAAGUUAGCGGCGGACGGGUGAGUAACACGUAGGUAACCUGCCUAUAAGAUCGGGAUAACUAUCGGAAACGAUAGCUAAGACCGGAUAACUGGUUUUCUCGCAUGAGAGAAUUAUGAAACACGGAGCAAUCUGUGAGAUAUAGAUGGGCCUGCGGCGCAUUAGCUAGUUGGUAGGGUAACGGCCUACCAAGGCGACGAUGCGUAGCCGACCUGAGAGGGUGAACGGCCACACUGGGACUGAGACACGGCCCAGACUCCUACGGGAGGCAGCAGUAGGGAAUCUUCCGCAAUGGACGCAAGUCUGACGGAGCAACGCCGCGUGAGUGAUGAAGGUUUUCGGAUCGUAAAGCUCUGUUGCCCUAGACGAACAGCAAGGAGAGUAACUGCUCUUUGUGUGACGGUAUAGGAGAAGUUUUUCUCCGGCUAACUACGUGCCCCCCCCCCCCGGUAAUACGUAGGGGGCAAGCGUUGUCCGGAAUUAUUGGGCGUAAAGCGCGCGCAGGCGGUCAAUUAAGUUGGGUGUUUAAGCCCGGGGCUCAACCCCGGUUCGCAUCCAAAACUGGUUGACUUGAGUGUAGGAGAGGAAAGUGGAAUUCCACGUGUAGCGGUGAAAUGCG